AGCGACGCUUCCAUUUUAACACAUGUAUUAGUGUGCUAAAACUACUAAAGUACCUGUUUCUUCUUACCCAGAGUAGUACAUCAGGCUUGUAUUAACUUGUAUCAAUUGUACAUCAGGCUUCUUACCCAGCACUUUAAUUCUCUGGAAUGAAACUUUGACAAGCAUGCAUAUAUAUAUAUAUAUAUAUAUGUUCAAUUUUUUUGGAUUACGUGAUGGCAUUCUAUGAUUCUGUUUAACAACUUAAAGUAUAUGUAUGAAUGUGCUGGAGUCCAUGAUUUAAUUUUCUGAUUUUUGAUUUGACCUCAAGAUUAUCUUCUUAUUUCUCUUGUCCUUCUUGUGUAGCAUGAUUUGAUUAGGUACAAGGGGUUCGUCAUGCCAGGCUCCUCUUUUCUGCUGCUUCCAUGCAACAGUGGUGGCAGCUGUGUUGUUCGGCAUCGGCUACAAAAACAGCCAUGGGCGACUGAGGAAGGCAUGUUGUCUGUUUUCUUGAAGGCCGUUCUGUUUGUUCCCAGCCCUAACUACGGUUGUCCAGCUAGUUCGGCAUGUUGUUCAUAUCACUAUGGUAGUCCAACGAGUUUGGCAUGUUCAUGACGGGAGCAGGUGCCAGUUUGUGAUUGCUUGUAAAGCUUGUAAAGUACUGUAUUACACUUGUAGUCAUUACUGUGAUUGCCACUGUAUUACACUUGUAAGGAUCUGGUUGCUCUUAUUUAAAGUAUUAUGUGUGCUUUUUGUCUGCC